rnacentral:lncRNA from 1 species
AACCAUUUAAUCUUAGUCCCUCACCGCACGAAUAAAACGUGCAUAAACCCCUCCACGUGCGAUUUCACGCGAAACGGUACAUAAAAUGUCGCAACUUUUGCGAAAUUACCGUUUUGCCAUCACCGACCUCUCCUCGAUCAACGCGCGAUCUCCGCAGAUCCGUCCGUCAGAUUUGCGAACGGAUUGCACCAGUGCGAUCAGCACCUCGGAGACAACAAAGCUACACUUACGAUUCAUCUCGAUCGACCACGGAUUCACAACAAAAUCCAACCUUCUUCCAAUAGAAGGAAACACACACACAAAUACAUAUAAAACAUGUAUUUUUGGAUUUUCUCGAAAUCCGUGCGUCAAACUCAAAAUCCAUCAGCGCCACUAGUUCCAGAACAGCUGAACCGGUCGAAACGAGCUAUUGGACUGAUAUGAACGGAGUCCGAUACGCACCAGAAGCCAACUCUACUCCGUGGCUUCUCCGGAAAACCGGAGUUACUGUUCACUUAAGUGAAAACUAAAAAAUCGCGUAUCUUCUCUAUUUUAGCUCAGUUUCUCCUGAAACUUGACGAGUGCCUAUGUAAUUAAAUUACACACAUAAACAUCAUCAACAGAGAGUUUAGUUGCACUGUCAAAAAAACUCAGUCCUUACAUUUAAUUAUUCAAGAUUUCAGUUGGUUUUCUGAAUGAGAUAAAGAUUUCUAGAUUUUUGUAAAAAGGAAAGGUUUUCUACCCCUCGUGGUAGCAUGUUUUAAAAAGAAAAAUUUUCCGUGUGGGAAACAGCUUUCAAAAGAGUUUUCUCGUGAUUUUCUUGAAUUAGAAUUUCAAAAUAAGUUUCUGGGUAGGAAACGUUUCAACUGAUAGUUGUGGAUUUAUAUUCGGAUCUAUGUUUAUGAACCUGUGGUGAAUGGUAUAUGGAUAUUGAAUGUAUGAUGACUUGCAUAUUCAUUUAGUUGUGGUUGUAUGAUAUUUUACAUCUUGUACUUGUGCGACGCCGUGCAAAUACAGGAGAGACUCUGUCCGUGUGAACAGUGGAAUCCCUAUAUUUGUGACGGAUCUGGCAUACCCUGAGAUCAGGUUUUCAAAAGAAAAAAAAAAAUUCUAGUCACUUCCGCUAUAUUUUCAAACUAAAAGGGACCCAGAAUUAAAAUUGAAAGAGGAUGAAAUAAAACAAUUAAACAAGCAAAAAUAAGUUGAGUAUAGCAAUUUCAUAAUGGCCAAAGGGAGUGUUUGGCCUAGCUCCUAAGAAGUGUUUCUGAGUCCAAAAUCACUUUUGAGCUCAGUAGACUGUUUGGAAACGACAGAUGGAAAAUUUAAUUUUGUUUUUUAGAAUCAGAAAACUGAUUUUGAAGGAUCCAGAAUUAGAAGUAGAGAAAAACUACUUCUCCAAAACUGAUUCAAAUUUUGGACUCAAACUUUAAAUUUUUAUUUUUAUUUUAGAUUUAAAGUAUAAAUUUAACAUUAAAUUUAAAUUUUAAAAUUUUAAAUUCAUAUUUCAAUUUUCAAAUCUCAACUUUUCAAAUUAAAAAUUAAAAAUUUAGAUUUUAAAUUUUAAAUUGAAGUUUCAAAUAUCAAAUUUUAAAUUUUAAAAUUCAAAAUUUUAAAUUUUAAAUUUAAGAUAAAAUUUACAUUUUGACAUUUCAGAUUUUAAAACUUAAAUUUUAAAAUUUUAAAAUUUAAAACUUAAAAUUACAAUUUUUAAUUUUCAAAUUAGAAAAUUCAAAUUUUAAAUUUUAAUUUUAAAUUUCAAAUUUUAAAAUUUUAAAUUUUAAAUUUUGAAAUUUAAAAUUUUAUUUUAGUUUUAAAUUUCAAAUUUCAAAUUUUAAAUUUUAAAUUUCAAAUUUAAAUUUUAAAUUUUAAAUUUCAAAUUUUAAAAUUCAAAAUUCAAAUUGCAAAUUUCAAAAUUUAAAUUUCAAAUUUCAAA